UCCCUACUGGCUCAGAGGGUAGAAAAUCUGCCUGCAGUGCAGGAGAUCCAGGUUCGAUCCCAGGGUCGGGAA
rnacentral:tRNA from 1 species